GAUGAACGCUGGCGGCGUGCCUAAUACAUGCAAGUCGAGCGAACGGACGAGAAGCUUGCUCCUCUGAUGUUAGCGGCGGACGGGUGAGUAACACGUGGAUAACCUACCUAUAAGACUGGGAUAACUUCGGGAAACCGGAGCUAAUACCGGAUAAUAUUUUGAACCGCAUGGUUCAAAAGUGAAAGACGGUCUUGCUGUCACUUAUAGAUGGAUCCGCGCUGCAUUAGCUAGUUGGUAAGGUAACGGCUUACCAAGGCAACGAUGCAUAGCCGACCUGAGAGGGUGAUCGGCCACACUGGAACUGAGACACGGUCCAGACUCCUACGGGAGGCAGCAGUAGGGAAUCUUCCGCAAUGGGCGAAAGCCUGACGGAGCAACGCCGCGUGAGUGAUGAAGGUCUUCGGAUCGUAAAACUCUGUUAUUAGGGAAGAACAAAUGUGUAAGUAACUGUGCACAUCUUGACGGUACCUGAUCAGAAAGCCACGGCUAACUACGUG
rnacentral:rRNA from 1 species